UACAGAGGUCUCAAGCGUUGUUCGGAUUUAUUGGGUUUAAAGGGUGCGUAGGCGGCCCUGUAAGUCAGUGGUGAAAUUCUUGAGCUUAACUGAAGGAUUGCCAUUGAUACUGUAGGGCUUGAGUACAGAUGAGGUAGGCGGAAUUGAUGGUGUAGCGGUGAAAUGCAUAGAUACCAUCAAGAACACCGAUUGCGAAGGCAGCUUACUAAGCUGUAACUGACGCUGAUGCACGAAAGCGUGGGGAUCGAACAGG
rnacentral:rRNA from 1 species